UACGUAGGGGGCAAGCGUUGUCCGGAAUCAUUGGGCGUUAAAGCGCGUGUAGGCGGCCCGGUAAGUCCGCUGUGAAAAGUCGGGGGGCUCAACCCUCGGAUGCCGGUGGAUACUGUCGGGCUAGAGUGCGGGAGAGGCGAGUGGAAUUCCUGGUGUAGCGGUGAAAUGCGCAGAUAUCAGGAGGAACACCAAUUGCGAAGGCAGCUCG
rnacentral:rRNA from 1 species